UCCUCCUUGCAAUGGUUUGUGAAGGUUUUUUCGAAAUUUUUGGAAUUUAUUCUAUGAUUUUUAGAUGAGGUAUUAUGCUUUAUUUAUAAAUAUUAGAAAAGUAUUUUUUUUUAUAAUUUUUAGAUGUAGAACUUAAAAAAAAAUAAAGAUCAGAUAAUGGACAGAUGAGAUAAGUCACGGAGGCACGAUGAGAGAAGGGGAUGC
rnacentral:lncRNA from 1 species